GCUUGCAGCUAAGCUUAGCCCAUGGCGUACUUCUGCGUCCAGCCUCUUGCGGUGGAUUCGUAUCUGAGGCGAUCAGUCUUGCACAUAUGAGCGAUCUCCGGCACCAGCGGAUCGUCCGGGUUCGGGUCCGUCAGCAGCGAGCAGAUCGACAGAAGAACCUGCACCAAUUAUGAAGCUGGGCUCCACUGGUCCUUGAGGAUGUCAAGGCAGAUGUUGCCAUUGCUGUUUAUGUUUGGAUGGAACACCUUGUUAGCACAUACCUUUGGAGGCUUGAAAGGGUAGUCAGGAGGGAAGUGGAUGGUCACCAGGAACACUCCUCCAGAGUAGGGGCUGUCAUUGGGCCCCAUGAUUGUUGCUUGCCAGUGGAACAUGUCAUCAGACACAGGCCCUG
rnacentral:sRNA from 1 species